rnacentral:rRNA from 1 species
AACGAACGCUGGCGGCAGGCUUAACACAUGCAAGUCGAACGCCCCGCAAGGGGAGUGGCAGACGGGUGAGUAACGCGUGGGAACGUGCCCUUCGCUUCGGAAUAGCCCCGGGAAACUGGGAGUAAUACCGAAUACGCCGUAUUGGGAAAGAUUUAUCGGCGAAGGAUCGGCCCGCGUUAGAUUAGCUAGUUGGCGGUGUAAUGGACCACCAAGGCUACGAUCUAUAGCUGGUCUGAGAGGAUGAUCAGCCACACUGGGACUGAGACACGGCCCAGACUCCUACGGGAGGCAGCAGGGGGGAAGCGUGGACAAGGGGCGCAAGCCUGGUCCAGCCAUGCCGCGUGAGUGAAGGAGGCCUUAGGGUUGUAAAGCUCUUUCGCCGGAGAAGAUGAUGACGGUAUCCGGAGAAGAAGCCCCGGCUAACUUCGUGCCAGCCGCCGCCGUAA